AAAUUCCCAAAAUUUGCCCCAAAAUCCCCCGGAUUUGCCCCAAAAUCGGGGCCGGGGGGGGGCGGGGCCGAGUGACGUCAUCGGGCUGUUCCUGAUGGACGAGGAGUGGGGGAGGGGCGAGGAGGAGGAGCCGGAGUGGGACACGGAGAGCGACGAGAGCCCCCCCGAGGAGGGACCCCCUCCCCAGAGCCCCCCCGGGCCCCCCCUGGCUCGGUCCCUGCCCGUGACCGUGCCCAGCUGGGCCCUGAGAGCCCUGAGAGCCCCCCCGGGACACAGGGACACGAACA